CUGCAUGGCUGUCGUCAGCUCGUGUCGUGAGAUGUUGGGUUAAGUCCCGCAACGAGCGCAACCCUUGUCAUUAGUUGCUACGAAAGGGCACUCUAAUGAGACUGCCGGUGACAAACCGGAGGAAGGUGGGGAUGACGUCAAGUCCUCAUGGCCCUUAUGGGUAGGGCUUCACACGUCAUACAAUGGUCGGGACAGAGGGUCGCCAACCCGCGAGGGGGAGCCAAUCCCAGAAACCCGAUCGUAGUCCGGAUCGCAGUCUGCAACACGACUGCGUGAAGUCGGAAUCGCUAGUAAUCGCGGAUCAGCAUGUCGCGGUGAAUACGUUCCCGGGUCUUGUACACACCGCCCGUCACACCAUGGGAGUGGGUUUUACCAGAAGUAGUUAGCCUAACCGCAAGG
rnacentral:rRNA from 1 species